AAUGAACGCUGGCGGCAGGCCUAAAACAUGCAAGUCGAACGCCCUAGCAAUAGGGAGUGGCGCACGGGUGAGUAACAUGUGGGAAUAUGCCUUUUGGUACGGAACAACGUUUGGAAACGAACGCUAAUACCGUAUGGUCCCUCCGGGGUAAAGAUUUAUCGCCAAAAGAUUAGCCCGCACUAGAUUAGCUAGUUGGUAAGGUAAUGGCUUACCAAGGCGACGAUCUAUAGCUGUUCUGAGAGGAAGAUCAGCCACACUGGGACUGAGACACGGCCCAAACUCCUACGGGAGGCAGCAGUGGGGAAUAUUGGACAAUGGGUGCAAGCCUGAUCCAGCCAUGCCGCGUGAGUGAUGAAGGCCCUAGGGUUGUAAAGCUCUUUCACCGGAGAAGAUAAUGACGGUAUCCGGAGAAGAAGCCCCGGCUAACUUCGUGCCAGCCGCCGCUGUAAAAC
rnacentral:rRNA from 1 species